rnacentral:rRNA from 1 species
CUGGCUCAGGAUGAACGCUAGCGACAGGCUUAACACAUGCAAGUCGAGGGGCAGCAUAGAAGUAGCAAUACUUGGUGGCGACCGGCGCACGGGUGAGUAACGCGUAUGCAACCUACCUAUCAGAGGGGAAUAACCCGGCGAGAGUCGGACUAAUACCGCAUAAAACAGGGACACCGCAUGGUGAUAUUUGUUAAAGAAAUUCGCUGAUAGAUGGGCAUGCGUUCCAUUAGGUAGUUGGUGAGGUAACGGCUCACCAAGCCGACGAUGGAUAGGGGAACUGAGAGGUUGGUCCCCCACACUGGUACUGAGACACGGACCAGACUCCUACGGGAGGCAGCAGUGAGGAAUAUUGGUCAAUGGGCGAGAGCCUGAACCAGCCAAGUCCGCGUGAAGGAAGAAGGACCUAUGGUUCGUAAACUUCUUUUGCAGGGGAAUAAAGUGCAGGACGUGUCCUGUUUUGUAUGUACCCUGAGAAUAAGGAUCGGCUAACUCCGUGCCAGCAGCCGC